CCCUUAGAUGUCCUGGGCCGCACGCGCGCUACACUGAUGCAUGCAACGAGUUUACAACCUUGGCCUGAAAGGUCUGGGUAAUCUUUUGAACGUGCAUCGUGAUAGGGAUAGAUUAUUGCAAUUGUUAAUCUUGAACGAGGAAUUCCUAGUAAACGCGAGUCAUCAGCUCGCAUUGAUUACGUCCCUGCCCUUUGUACACACCGCCCGUCGCACCUACCGAUUGAAUGGUUCGGUGAAGAUCUCGGACUUCGAUAUUUAUUCUUUAUUGAGUUUAUAUUGUGGGAAGUUAUCUAAACCUCAUCAUUUAGAGGAAGGUGAAGUCGUAACA
rnacentral:rRNA from 1 species